UGACGUUAGCGGCGGACGGGUGAGUAACACGUGGGUAACCUACCUAUAAGACUGGGAUAACUUCGGGAAACCGGAGCUAAUACCGGAUAAUAUUUCGAACCGCAUGGUUCGAUAGUGAA
rnacentral:rRNA from 1 species